UCCGGCGAACAUACCUGGAUGGCCACACCCGUUCCCAUCCCGAACACGGCCGUUAAGCAUCCAGGGCCGAUGGUAGUGCUAACCAGCGCGAGAGUAGGUUAUCGCCGGAU
rnacentral:rRNA from 1 species